rnacentral:rRNA from 1 species
AAGUCGAGCGAGCUGAACCAACAGAUUCACUUCGGUGAUGACGUUGGGAACGCGAGCGGCGGAUGGGUGAGUAACACGUGGGGAACCUGCCCCAUAGUCUGGGAUACCACUUGGAAACAGGUGCUAAUACCGGAUAAGAAAGCAGAUCGCAUGAUCAGCUUAUAAAAGGCGGCGUAAGCUGUCGCUAUGGGAUGGCCCCGCGGUGCAUUAGCUAGUUGGUAGGGUAACGGCCUACCAAGGCAAUGAUGCAUAGCCGAGUUGAGAGACUGAUCGGCCACAUUGGGACUGAGACACGGCCCAAACUCCUACGGGAGGCAGCAGUAGGGAAUCUUCCACAAUGGACGAAAGUCUGAUGGAGCAACGCCGCGUGAGUGAAGAAGGUUUUCGGAUCGUAAAGCUCUGUUGUUGGUGAAGAAGGAUAGAGGUAGUAACUGGCCUUUAUUUGACGGUAAUCAACCAGAAAGUCACGGCUAACUACGUGCCAGCAGCCGCGGUAAUACGUAGGUGGCAAGCGUUGUCCGGAUUUAUUGGGCGUAAAGCGAGCGCAGGCGGAAGAAUAAGUCUGAUGUGAAAGCCCUCGGCUUAACCGAGGAACUGCAUCGGAAACUGUUUUUCUUGAGUGCAGAAGAGGAGAGUGGAACUCCAUGUGUAGCGGUGGAAUGCGUAGAUAUAUGGAAGAACACCAGUGGCGAAGGCGGCUCUCUGGUCUGCAACUGACGCUGAGGCUCGAAAGCAUGGGUAGCGAACAGGAUUAGAUACCCUGGUAGUCCAUGCCGUAAACGAUGAGUGCUAAGUGUUGGGAGGUUUCCGCCUCUCAGUGCUGCAGCUAACGCAUUAAGCACUCCGCCUGGGGAGUACGACCGCAAGGUUGAAACUCAAAGGAAUUGACGGGGGCCCGCACAAGCGGUGGAGCAUGUGGUUUAAUUCGAAGCAACGCGAAGAACCUUACCAGGUCUUGACAUCUAG